rnacentral:rRNA from 1 species
CAGCCGCCACGGUAACACGGAGGGUGCAAGCGUUAAUCGGAAUUACUGGGCGUAAAGCGCACGCAGGCGGUCUGACAAGUCAGAUGUGAAAUCCCCGGGCUUAACCUGGGAACUGCAUUUGAAACUGUCAGGCUGGAGUCUUGUAGAGGGGGGUGGAAUUCCAGGUGUAGCGGUGAAAUGCGUAGAGAUCUGGAGGAAUACCGGUGGCGAAGGCGGCCCCCUGGACAAAGACUGACGCUCAGGUGCGAAAGCGUGGGGAGCAAACAGGAUUAGAUACCCGAGUAGUCCCUGUCUCUUAUAC